AGGAUCCUGCAUGAGACAGUUCAUACCGAGAGCUACAAUUGCUAUGUUCUGUUUUUUAAUCAAGGAGGAUCCAAGUGAAGCGACAGGAGUUUCAUUAACGUCAAUAACUUGGACCGAACAUUUUGUUUUGCUUAAUGAAGAGCAGGAAGGGCAGCCUGGAGAGAAAGAGAAGCCGGGUUGAGCCAACUACCAUCAUCCACGUACCACGAGGAAGAUGAGGGAGAGAAAUGAUCCUACCAUUAAAGAGACUGUGAAAAGAGCGUUGAGAACAUCACCACUCUACAGGAAGACACAGUCCAGUAAUGGGUGUCAGAAGUUCAGUAGUGAACGACAGGAAGGACUGAUGCAUUUACUGAGACGGGACGUGAGGACCUACUCUGCGUGCUCAGAGUUUAAGCCCAGCAGGCUGCAGCGGGCCUGACAUAUUCCGGAACAGUAGCACAGUCUUUGGAUGACUCCUCUGAAGAUGAAAACAUGGCGAGGUACUUCUCCACUGAUGAAGAAUUGUGAGGGCUGUGAUUAGCUACACUCUCUUGCUACAAGGCUACUCUUGCUACUCCCUGGCAGCCUUAGGAAGGCAUUAGCUUGCUGUUGGGUAGCUGUUAGCUUCAGCAUUUUUUGUUUUUAGCGGCCUGUCUGACGUUUAUGUUUAAAAAAAAAAAUCAGAGGGAACCAUCUUCAUAAUUUAACGUCCUUCCGUUCUUCUCAAGAGAAGCAGUACAGGUGUGCCUCAGCUCCACGGUCCCUCCUGCAGCGUCCGCUCCUGAGGCUAACCUCAUGUCGCCAUCACACCAAGCAGCAGACCUGGAUUGACAGACCUUUCUCCAGAGCUGCCCCCUCCCUCUGAAACCCCCCUCUCCAAAAAACUAUUUGUGGCGUUUUUAUAAGUAUUAUUUGCAUGAGAAUUGUUGAUCAUAACAUUUCCAGCAGAUGCCUUAAUGUAAUGUUU